rnacentral:rRNA from 1 species
GACGAACGCUGGCGGCGCGCUUAACACAUGCAAGUCGAGCGAAGCGGCGGACGGGUGAGUAACACGUGAGUAACCUGCCUUAGACAUUGGGAUAGCCUCGGGAAACCGGGAUUAAUACCAAAUGGUCUAAGAUGGACUCGCGUCCCAUUAGCUAGUUGGUGGGUAACGGCCCACCAAGGCAACGUUGGUUAGCCGGCCUGAGAGGCUGGACGGCGACCUUGGAGCUGCGAAACAGUCCAAACGCUACGGUAGGCAGCAGUGGGGAAUAUUGCACAGUGGAGGGAACUCUGAUGCGGCGACGCCGCGUGAACGAAGAAGGCUUUCGAGUCGUAAAGUUCUUUUAUAUGGGAAGCGGUACCAUAAGAAAAAGCCCCGGCUAACUACGUGCCAGCAGCCGCGGUAAUAC